rnacentral:rRNA from 1 species
GUGGGGAAUAUUGCACAAUGGGGGAAACCCUGAUGCAGCAACGCCGCGUGAAGGAAGACGGUUUUCGGAUUGUAAACUUCUUUUCUUAGUGAAGAAACAAAUGACGGUAGCUAAGGAAUAAGCAUCGGCUAACUACGUGCCAGCAGCCGCGGUAAUACGUAGGAUGCGAGCGUUAUCCGGAUUUACUGGGUGUAAAGGGAGCGCAGGCGGGACUGCAAGUUGGAUGUGAAAUACCGCAGCUUAACUGCGGAGCUGCAUCCAAAACUGUAGUUCUUGAGUGGAGUAGAGGCAAGCGGAAUUCCGAGUGUAGCGGUGAAAUGCGUAGAUAUUCGGAGGAACACCAGUGGCGAAGGCGGCUUGCUGGGCUCUAACUGACGCUGAGGCUCGAAAGUGUGGGGAGCAAACAGGAUUAGAAACCCUGGUAGUCC